rnacentral:rRNA from 1 species
CCUACGGGUGAGCUGCAGUGAGGAAUAUUGGUCAAUGGCCGAGAGGCUGAACCAGCCAAGUCGCGUGAGGGAAGACGGCCCUACGGGUUGUAAACCUCUUUUGUCGGGGAGCAAAGCGAGUCACGUGUGACUCAUUGAGAGUACCCGAAGACAAAGCAUCGGCUAACUCCGUGCCAGCAGCCGCGGUAAUACGGAGGAUGCGAGCGUUAUCCGGAUUUAUUGGGUUAAAGGGGUGCGCAGUGGGAGGUGCAAGUCAGCGGUCAAAUUGCGGGGCUCAACCCCGUACUGCCGUUGAAACUGAUGUUCUUGAGUGGGCGAGAAGUAGGCGGAAUGCGUGGUGUAGCGGUGAAAUGCAUAGAUAUCACGCAGAACUCCGAUUGCGAAGGCAGCAUACCGGAGCCCAACUGACGCUGAAGCACGAAAGCGUGGGUAUCGAACAGGAUUAGAUACCCGUGUAGUC